rnacentral:rRNA from 1 species
GACGAACGCUGGCGGCGUGCUUAACACAUGCAAGUCGAACGGAAAGGCCCUGCUUUUGUGGGGUGCUCGAGUGGCGAACGGGUGAGUAACACGUGAGUAACCUGCCCUUGACUUUGGGAUAACUUCAGGAAACUGGGGCUAAUACCGGAUAGGAGCUCCUGCUGCAUGGUGGGGGUUGGAAAGUUUCGGCGGUUGGGGAUGGACUCGCGGCUUAUCAACUUGUUGGUGGGGUAGUGGCUUACCAAGGCUUUGACGGGUAGCCGGCCUGAGAGGGUGAUCGGCCACAUUGGGACUGAGAUACGGCCCAGACUCCUACGGGAGGCAGCAGUGGGGAAUAUUGCACAAUGGGCGGAAGCCUGAGGCAGCAACGCCGCGUGCGGGAUGACGGCCUUCGGGUUGUAAACCGCUUUCGCCUGUGACGAAGCGUGAGUGACGGUAAUGGGUAAAGAAGCACCGGCUAACUACGUG